UCCUCAAGGUACACCCCAAACCUUGAACAGGUCCAAAUGAAACAAAGAAGAGGCAACUAAUGGGAAUUUGGUAGUGUGCUGAAGAGGCCUUCGAGGAGAAAUUGUUGGGGAUGCGGACCGUGAGCUCAUCAGAUCCUAGAUUAAGUCUGGCCAGUCAAUGAAGAAACAGCACGCUUACAACAGUCACGAGGUACCCGUUCAGAGAGAGACUGCCAGGCUCAUCUUCCUUCCCUAGGAACAGGGGCUUGAAGACCACGAGCAGCCUGUUGGUGGGUAAGGACGGGCAAAACUAAGGGCCCUGGCCCAACCUACCUCUCUGGAUCAGUUUGCUCCUAGUCUA
rnacentral:lncRNA from 1 species